ACGAAUUCUACCUUAUUUGAAUGUAUCUUCUGCCUAAAGGACUGUCUAGUGUACUUUAAACCUGAAAUAGGGAGGGCAGGAGGGAGCCCUGAAGUGGACCAUUCACAAUGAGCGCUUAGACCACAGCAGGUACACAGGGCUGUCUUCCCCACCGGGCUGAGAGUUCUUGCAUUCCUAUUACAAUUGUAGCCAUUCUUUCUUUCUAAAAUGGCAUCGAGACAUAAACACGGCCACUUUUUCCUCUUUCUUGGUGACGCGUGUCCUUUCUUGGGAGCCAUUCCAGUGAGGCCCAAGGAGCCACAGAACAUUAAGUGUCCACUGGGAAAGGAAACUGGGUAGAGAGGGCAUGGAAUGGAGUAGCCCCAAGUGGGGCAUGGCUGGCCAAUUGGAACCCUGAACAGGAUCGCUCAAUGCUGCAAGGUUUUUGCUGCAAUUCCCACUUGUAAACUCUUCAUUAAACAAAAAAACAAAGACCACAAAUAAAUCUCUGGAGCUCUCCUUUCUGCCGGAACGAUUAUCUCUCCAAUCUAGGCGCCUAGUUUCUCCCAAGAAUUUUCUUAGUUCCCCUCCAUGUUGCCUGGACCCAGCCUGUUACCACUGACCACUGCAUCCCCUCGGACCCCAGAUGACCGCUCUGGAAGCUGAUGGCCGGCCAAUGUCACACUGCCCCUUUGGCCACUUCCGCCUCCCUCCAGUUGUCCUCUGCAAAAGAGUCCAAACUUGUUACGUAACCGGGACUGAUCGCCAUGGAAGCCAGGAGGAAAAAGUGCCCAUUGUAAUUUCGUGGGAAACAUUUGCAGUCUUUGUUCCGAAAGCCAAACUCUCCCCCCCCCCUUCUUGUUGAAGUCCUUGCCUUUGAGAAAUAAAUCUCUUUCAUCCAUGAGCCUUACAAAAAGAAAAGAGAAACAGCCAAUCUGCCAAAUACAGAGUCCCAAGUGGAACGCCAGAUGAAGCCAAAUAAAGAGAGAAAGACCAGAAGCAAACCUGGAGGCUUCUGGGAAAAUCGCAACUUUCGGGAUGGUUUGGCAAAGGGAAAGUGGUUGUUAUGAUGAUGCAGGUGGU